rnacentral:rRNA from 1 species
AAAACAUCACUGGGAGAACAUAACUCUCAGCAAUGCCUGCCCAGUGUGAUUAAAAAUCAUAAACGGCCGCCCUAGCGUGAGGGUGCUAAGGUAGCGAAAUUCCUUGCCUUUUAAUUGUAGGCCUGCAUGAAUGGCUUAACGAGGGCUUAACUGUCUCUGGUUUACAGGGUCUAAAUUGGAUUAAAGGUGAAGAUACCUUUAUAUAAAAGUCAGACAAGAAGACCCCGUGCAACUUUCAAAAUCGGUUUAUUGAGAAACUUUAAGAUUUUUAGGUGGGGCGCCUACUGAGUAAUACUAACCUCUGUGUAUGGAAAAAACUUUCAAGUAUAGACCCGGCAAUGCCGAUCAUAGGAGAAGUUACGCCGGGGAUAACAGGCUAAUUCACUAGUAGAGAACGUAUUGGCUAGUGGGAUUGGCACCUCGAUGUUGAAUCAGGGAUGAUACCUUUAAGGCGUAGAAGCUU